CUAAAUAUGAACCUAGACUUCCAGAUUAUUAACAAGGCGUACAACAUACUGAUUCAACAACACAUACAUUACUCACUGCUUCUGAUGUGAGUACUAUGUAACAGCACCUGAUAGUUGGACCAUGACCACUGAAGGCGGCAGCCUAGAAGAGGCAGUCACACAGGUAAACAAACAAGCAGAACAGGAUCAGGUGAUGGAAGAACCUAAGACACAGCAUCUGAGAUGCCUGCCUUUAGGACGCUCAUGAUUCAGAAGAGUGCACAGACCUGCGCAGGCACUCAUAGAGGCACAUUUGGACAGUGAUAGAGACACAUUCGGUGCAAGGUAGCAACAUGCAGGAGGACUGGUCAGCAAAGCAAGUAUCUGUUAAAUAUUUUGAAUAGUAUCUACUCGACAGCAAUAGCACCAUAAAUAUGAGCUAGGGUGGUAUAACUGCAUAGAGAAGAGAGAUCAAAGAAGGCAUAAUGGGAAGAUGCUUGAGCUAGUACCGGGUCAAGGGGGACCAGCUGAUGAGAAGAGGAAGGGCAACAAACAGAAGAAGCUAUGUGUGCAUGGUGCUUUGGGAAGUAGCGAGUCUCUCAGCCAGGUGAGACUCGGCCACAGGGCUGGAGAGGUCUGCAGGUGGCACAGAGUCCUAAAUGCCAAUGAAAAGGAGAUAAUUCAACUAUAGGAGGUGGAGGAGGGUUCUCAAAGGUUUUUAAGCAGAAGGAGGACAGAAACUUUCUUGCGAAUGGGGUGCUACUGGGAGAGAGAAUAUUCAGAGGCAAGUAGAGAGCCUGAACCACACAGGCAUGGAGACAAGCCACUUCUCCCCCUGUCCCCUCUGACACCUUUGUACCACAGGUUCCCAAGGCCUGUUCAGGCCUCCAGACCAAGAGUACCUACUUCCUUUGUACUGAGAAGGGCUGAAUUUGAACUCAAUGAGAAAAUCACAGGCCCAUUUUCUUUCAAUAAUUCCUUUCCUUCAUUCCCACUGCAGGGCACUUUCUAUAAUUUAUUCAUCCCAAGGUGCACUUACAGAGUGCAUCUGCUUCAUCAUUAUUUUAUUAUUUCUUCUUGCUUUAAAAUUGCAUGAGCCACUGAGAAGCAGAGAUGAUGAACAGGGAAAACAGCUGGGCUCUUGCUAGAUGAGGAUUGUGGUUAAGUUUGGGGGGGGGCCUCUAUAUCCUUAGUCAUCUAUAUAGUCUUGCCCAUCUACAUUUUAUAUUCUUUUGCUCAUUGAUCUUUCAAUAUUCAAAAUUCAGGCCCUCUAAUUACUUAGAUGCCCUCCCUUCCCCUGCCAAAUGUUCAUUUUCCCAAACCCAUUGCCAUCAAGUCACAUGUCUACUGAAAAAUCCUUCAAUGUUGUAAAGUCUAAUUCCUCAUCACAGCAACCAAAGCCCUUUAGAAUCUGCCUCAAUUCAAUUUCCUUGAUACUUUCUACAAUUCAAAUUUAGUCAAAUUGUUUCUGGAAUGCUUUGCUGUUCCUUCACUACCUGCUUUUUCCCAUGCCCCACCCCCACCUCACCUUCCUCUCUAGCACAAGACACAAAUUUGAUCCCACCUCUUCUAUGAAAUGUUUCCUGCCCUCUCAAGUUCUCAAACUUUUAUCAAGACCACAGUGUCCUGCUCCAUUAGUUACUUAGAAGAUGUUCUUGGAAUAUAUUCAAGACUUUCACUAAUCUUUUCUUUGUCUUAGAGAAUGCCACAUGUAAUGGUAAUUAUCAAAGACAGAAAAGACAGAAACAGUAAUAUUGAUCAAAAUUUAUUGUUUCCUCUGAUCCAUCAACAGGAAUUGAUUAUUCACUUACUUCUAGAGGUCAAUCCUAAAAUUUGGUUUUUAAUGGCCGUGGAAGAGAAGGUUUCUAUUUAAAGAUAUAUCUUCCUAAAGCAUCUACUAACAUUAUAUAUACUUGCCUCUUGGCUCAGUUUUAAAUACUUUUCAAAAAUAGGAAAUGAUGUAAAAAGACAUGUUACAUUGACUUGGUUUGGAAUCAGGCAGCCAACACUUUUGGGAGAAAUAAAAAUGUGAAUUCUGUCCACUGUGAUGCAAUGAAGAUUUCUAAUUUAUUUGCUUGGUGCAAAAGAAUGAUUAUACUGACCAUUAUCCCUGAGGGAACCAACUGCUUCCUCAAUUCUUCUGCUUUAACCUCUAUCUGUACUUAUUAAAAUGUAUCCUUGUAUGUAUAAUAGGAUUGCCAUCUAUGGAGAGCUAAUGCUACUUUAGUGCUUGGUGAGAUCUCUAACCCAAUACUUUAAACCACAAACACAAGAGCAUUCUGAAUGUACACACAAGCAAUUUUGCAAGAAGCAACCUGUUUGCAAAGAUGUAAACUCAACACAGCAGCAUGCAAAUUGAACCUCAGAGCUCUUGCUUGCCCAUAAAAUAUGACCUUCCUCAAAACCUAUUUGCCUGUGUAUACUUCAAGAAAAAGUAAAGAAAAUUAAAGUAAGUAAGAAAGUUGGAGUUAUAGCUCUAUCCCUUAACAACUUUGGACUGUAAUAACUGAACUUCACUCUUUUCUUUUUUUUUUAUUUAUUUAUUUUUUAAUUUAUUUAUGAUAGUCACAGAGAGAGAGAGAGAGAGGCAGAGACAUAGGCAGAGGGAGAA